UGGUUCUGGCAUCGAUGAAGAACGCAGCGAAAUGCGAUAAGUAGUGUGAAUUGCAGAAUUCCGUGAAUCAUCGAAUCUUUGAACGCACAUUGCGCCCCUUGGUAUUCCAUGGGGCAUGCCUGUUCGAGCGUCAUUUACCCCCUCAAGCCCUGCUUGGUGUUGGGCGUCUGUCCCGUCUUUUGCGCGCGGACUCGCCCCAAAACAAUUGGCAGCGGUCGUGCCAGCCUCUCGCGCAGCAGUUUGCGCUCCCAGAGGCCCGGCGGACGCGCAUCCACAAAGCCCAUCCACUUUUGACCUCGGAUCAGGUAGGGAUACCCGCUGA
rnacentral:misc_RNA from 1 species